rnacentral:rRNA from 1 species
GAUGAACGCUGGCGGCGUGCCUAAUACAUGCAAGUCGAGCGAACAGAUGAGGAGCUUGCUCCUCUGACGUUAGCGGCGGACGGGUGAGUAACACGUGGAUAACCUACCUAUAAGACUGGGAUAACUUCGGGAAACCGGAGCUAAUACCGGAUAAUAUAUUGAACCGCAUGGUUCAAUAGUGAAAGACGGUUUUGCUGUCACUUAUAGAUGGAUCCGCGCCGCAUUAGCUAGUUGGUAAGGUAACGGCUUACCAAGGCGACGAUGCGUAGCCGACCUGAGAGGGUGAUCGGCCACACUGGAACUGAGACACGGUCCAGACUCCUACGGGAGGCAGCAGUAGGGAAUCUUCCGCAAUGGGCGAAAGCUUGACGGAGCAACGCCGCGUGAGUGAUGAAGGUCUUCGGAUCGUAAAACUCUGUUAUUAGGGAAGAACAAAUGUGUAAGUAACUAUGCACGUCUUGACGGUACUUAAUCAGAAAGCCACGGCUAACUACGUG